rnacentral:rRNA from 1 species
UACGUAGGGUGCAAGCGUUGUCCGGAAUCAUUGGGCGUAAAGCGCGUGUAGGCGGUUCGGUAAGUCUGCUGUGAAAGUCCAGGGCUCAACCCUGGGAUGCCGGUGGAUACUGUCGGACUAGAGUACGGAAGAGGCGAGUGGAAUUCCCGGUGUAGCGGUGAAAUGCGCAGAUAUCGGGAGGAACACCUGCGGCGAAGGCGGGUUGCUGGGCUGAUACUGACGCUGAGGCGCGAAAGCCAGGGGAGCGAACGGG